rnacentral:tRNA from 1 species
GGGCACGUGGUCUAGGGGUAUGACGUCUGCUUCGCACUGAUUAAGUAUUGAAAUGACCCCUAACAUAGGAAUCAUCUUAUGUACUGAUCUACAGUGGUCUGCUGAAGGUCCGGGGUUCAAUUCCCCGCGUGUCCA